UGUCGGUGGUAGCUCCAGCAUUCCCACUCUAGGAAUGAGUCUAUCCCUCCCGACCCCGUAGGUUUCUCGAUACCGCACGAGCGAACAUAAGUCGCGUAGGCCAACUCCGGAGUGCCGGCUUGUAGGGAGCGACCCUCACAAGCAUGUGCGAAUGAGCACAAAUGGCAAACAAGCGUAAUCAUCGUCUCAAGUACCCAAUCA
rnacentral:lncRNA from 1 species